AUUGAACGCUGGCGGCAUGCUUUACACAUGCAAGUCGAACGGUAACAGGCCGCAAGGUGCUGACGAGUGGCGAACGGGUGAGUAAUGCAUCGGGACGUGCCCAGUCGUGGGGGAUAACUACUCGAAAGAGUAGCUAAUACCGCAUACGAUCUAUGGAUGAAAGCGGGGGACCGUAAGACCUCGCGCGAUUGGAGCUGCCGAUGUCAGAUUAGGUAGUUGGUGGGGUAAAGGCUCACCAAGCCAACGAUCUGUAGCGGGGCUGAGAGGACGACCAGCCACACUGGGGCUGAGACACGGCCCAGACUCCUACGGGAGGCAGCAGUGGGGAAUUUUGGACAAUGGGCGCAAGCCUGAUCCAGCAAUGCCGCGUGCAGGAAGAAGGCCUUCGGGUUGUAAACUGCUUUUGUACGGAACGAAACGGCUCUGGUUAAUACCCGGGGCUAAUGACGGUACCGUAAGAAUAAGCACCGGCUAACUACUU
rnacentral:rRNA from 1 species